UACCUCAUCAACUGGAAGGAAAUCCUUCUGGUUGAUGAGUUUUUAUACCUCAUCAACUGGAAGGAAAUCCUUCUGGUUGGUGAGGUU
rnacentral:miRNA from 1 species